AUCGAAUAAUAAUCCAGUCACACAAGUAUUCAUAUUCAUCCAAGACAACCAACAUCACAUAAGACUUAUACAAUCACUCAAGGCUACAAUUUUACCACAUAAUAUCCAUAUAUAAUAAUUCUAGUAUAUAAAAUAUGCUUUUUCUGAAAAGGCCCCUACCUCAAUAUGCAAAAUUAUAGCCCAAACACCUCACAGAGUUUUUUUCGUCUCGACCCAAAAUCAACGGCAGCUUCAAAGCACAGCCCCACACAUUUUCGCAGCAGCAUAAACAGCUCUAAUUAACACAAUUAGG